rnacentral:tRNA from 1 species
CCUGGUGGCUAAGUGGUAAAGAAUCUGCCUGCAAUGCAGGAGACCCAGGUUCGAUCUCUGGGUCAGGA